AAAAAAAUUAUUUAUUAAAUUAAAAAAAAUAUUUUUUUGUUUAAUUAUUAAAAAGAAAAAAUUUAUAUAAUUAUAGGUUAUUAGUAUUGUGAAAGAAAUAUAAAAAAUUUUUAAAAGAAUAAUUUAAUAUUAGUACCUUUUGCAUCAGGGUUUAUUAAAAAAUAAUUAUUUAUUAUAAUUUUUUCGAAUUUAAAUGAGCUAUCCUAAUAAAUUUAUUAUUGUUUCAUAAAUAUUAUUAAUAUAAGGAUAGUAAUGAAAUGUUAUUCGUUUUUAAAUAUAUCUAAUUUUUUAAGAAAUAAAUUUAAUUUAUUUAAUAAUAAUAUAAAAUUAAAUUAUUAAUUUAAUGUUAUUAUUAAAAAAUAUUUUAAGGGAUGAGCUUUAAAGUAAAUUAUUUAUAAAUAAAUAUAGUUAUUGAAUAAAUAGGAUUAUAAAUUUUCAUUUUUGAUAGUAUGUUAUAAUUAUUUUAAUUUUAAAUAUGAUUUAUAUUUAUUUUAAAUUUUUUAUUAAAAUAUUAAUUUAAAUUUUUAUAAUUAAGAAAUAAUGAUAAAAUUAGUAUAUAUGUAUUAGUGUAAAAUUAAAUUUAUUAUUUAGGUUAAUCAAAGGAAUUCGGCAAAUUAUUUUUCACCUGUUUAAUAAAAACAUGGCUUUUUGAUAAUAAUUUAAAGUCUAACCUGCCCAAUGAAAAUUUAAAUGGCCGCGGUAUAUUGACCGUGCAAAGGUAGCAUAAUCAUUUGUUUUUUAAUUGAAAGCUGGAAUGAAAGGUUGAAUGAAAAAAUAACUGUCUCUGUUUAAUUUAUUUAGAAUUUUAUUUUUAAGUUAAAAAGCUUAAAUAAUUUUUGAAGACGAGAAGACCCUAUAGAGUUUUAUAGUUGUUAAAUUAAUAAAAAUUAGAAUUUAUUUCAUUUUAGUUUAUACAAUAAUUUAAUUGGGGUGAUUAAAAAAUUAAAUAAACUUUUUUUGUAUAAAAUCAUUAAUUUAUGAUUGAAUUGAUCCUAUUUAUAGAUUAUAAGAAUAAAUUACCUUAGGGAUAACAGCGUAAUUUUUUUUUAGAGUUCAAAUCGAAAAAAUAGAUUGCGACCUCGAUGUUGGAUUAAAAUUAAUUUUUGGCGUAGUAGUUAAAUAAUUUGGGUCUGUUCGACCUUUAAAAUUUUACAUGAUCUGAGUUUAAACCGGUGUGAGCCAGGUUGGUUUCUAUCUCAAUAUAGUUAAUUAAUUUUAGUACGAAAGGACCAAAUUAAUAAUAAAAUAUUUAUAUUUAGAAUAUUAUUAA
rnacentral:rRNA from 1 species